ACAACUUUGAAAAUAAAUUCGCCAUUCAGCUCUUCAGGUGGGCUCCUGACCUCUACAAAAUAGACAAAACAAAGGAAAUUUUCUGCCCCAGUUUGCACUAGGAAGAUUUGCGAAUUAUUAGCAAUAUUGUAAACCACUUAUACUAUAUGCAAUGGUGGGAGUAAACCAACGACUAGGCCAGGAUGUGCGUCUCCUAUGAGUAAAACCCGAAACUUUGACAAGCAAAUGCGUUUGCUAAAAAUAAAACCUUAAUGAACCAAACUAGGAGGUGUGUCUCCUACGAGUAAAACUUGGGUGAACCAAAAUCAGGAAGUGUGUCUCCUAGUGGUAAACUCUCAUUUUUAGGAAGUGCGUCUCCUAAAGCAAAAAUAUAACCCGAAAGACCCAGCCUAGGAAGUGCGUCUCCUAGGGGUGAAACUUCAAUGAUUUAACCUAGGAAGUGUGUCUCCUACGAAUGAACUAAAAUGAACCAGACUAGGAAGUGCGUCUCCUAUGCAUGAAAUUAAACCUAGGAAGUGCAUCUCCUAGGGGUAAAAAUAAACUUAGGAAGUGCGUCUCCUAGGAGUAAAACUUUAAUGAUUUUAAACUAGGAAGUGCGUCUCCUAUUAAUGAAAACUUAAUUUAGGAAGUGCGUCUCCUAUGCAUGAAAUUAAACUUAGGAAGUGCGUCUCCUA
rnacentral:lncRNA from 1 species